rnacentral:tRNA from 1 species
GAAUUUAGCUCAGAUGGUAGAGCAAUAUCCUUUUAAGAUAUGUGUCAAUGGUUCAAAUCCAUUAUUUGAUUGUUUACA